CCCUUAGACGUUCUGGGCCGCACGCGCGCUACACUGACCGGUGCAACAAGCAUCCGUCCUUGGCCGACAGGCCCGGGCAAUCUUUGAACGCCGGUCGUGAUGGGGAUAGACUUUUGCAAUUUUUGGUCUUCAACGAGGAAUUCCUAGUAAACGCAAGUCAUCAACUUGCAUUGAUUACGUCCCUGCCCUUUGUACACACCGCCCGUCGCACCUACCGAUUGAAUGGUCCGGUGAAAUCUCGGGACGGCGGCUUGGUCGCUUGCGUCCGACUGCUGAAACUUGAUUAAACCAUAUCAUUUAGAGGAAGGUGAAGUCGUAACA
rnacentral:rRNA from 1 species